AAUAAGCGAUAACGAUAACCUCAUAUAAAAUUGGGAAUAUGGCCCAGAAGUUUCUACCCGUUGACCGUAAAUCAUCGGACUAUGAGGGAAAGUGUACGUAUA
rnacentral:ncRNA from 2 species